GUUGUCGCCAUCUUGUGGCAGCCUUUCAGGAAACCAGCUCAUGUCAGCACUUCUCUGAACUUCAGGGAAUGUGCAGUGUCUGCAAAUCUUACAUGUCACCUUAAAUGUACUUGCAACACCACCAGAGUUAUCUUGAAAGAAGUCAUUGAUCAGCAAGUUGGAACACCCGGCAAAGCAAAGACCUAUUUGUGAGUGUAUGCAUUGAGCUGGGGUGGCAGAGGAGGUGGCGUAUGGGAAUCUCUGUAAUCACAGUGUCUCCUGGCUGACAAGAACAAGAAAUAACUGUUCUGACACCUCACCAAAAUGUCUUCUUCCUCAGCAUCCAAAUCCUGGAAAUAGGAAAAGACAAGUCCCUGUAACCAUUUUCUCCACUCCGUAUCCUUCUUUAUUUUCUCCAAAGCACUCAUCUCUACCUAAUACAAUGUAUACUGGUUUAUAAUCAGUCAACCCCUAAUAGAAUGUAAGCUUCACAAGAGUGUCUUGCUUUUCUGCUGUAUCCCUAGAACCUACAAUAAUGCCUGGCAUCUAUUGGCUACCCCAAAAAUAUGUUUGAAUGAAUAAAUGGUCAACUCUUAUUUGGACUUAUGAUGCCAUAAUGAAAAAUCUUUAAUAACUGAAAUAAUAUGAUAUGAAGCUAUAAUUUAAUUUUGUUCAGUUCUUCUUUACAUUGAAAUGUUUUAAUUUUUACGAAACCAACUUUAUUUACCUUUUUUGUGACAUUCUUCAUUAUGUUAUAGAUGAAACAUCCUCUUUCACCCUGACAUAAAUAACACUUAUAUGUCCUUCUUGAUUGGUGGGUUUUAUAUCUGCAUGUUACUCCUCAACUAACUUACAAUUUAUGUUGAUGGAAAGUUUUAUACUUUUUUCUUGUUUUUAUUCCUUGCUAUUUUUCCCCCAAAUAGCUAACUGAUUGUCUUCAUACCAUUCAUUAAAUAACAUUUAUUCUCCCAAUUAAUACUCUUGGCUAUUUUAACAGUUGAAUUAUAAUGUUCAAUGACAUUAAACC
rnacentral:lncRNA from 1 species